GUAGACUUACAUCGUUGGAAACGCCUCAUAGAAUAAAUAUGUUGUUUCCUUUAUUCACAGAACUGUGUGUUAGAUCUGUGGGAAGGAAUUACAAGACAGCU
rnacentral:snoRNA from 1 species